rnacentral:rRNA from 1 species
GGACGAACGCUGGCGGCGUGCCUAACACAUGCAAGUCGAGCGGAGGUGUUGGAAGGUGAAAGCCGGAAGACACCUUAGCGGCGGACGGGUGAGUAACACGUAGGCAACCUACCCACCACACGGGGAUAGCCCUGGGAAACCGGGGGUAAUACCCGAUGACUUUAUUAAGCGGGUGCUUAAUAAAGAAAGGCAGGAAUGCGGUGGUGGAUGGGCCUGCGGCCCAUCAGCUAGUUGGCGGGAUAACAGCCCACCAAGGCGACGACGGGUAGCCGGCCUGAGAGGGUGGUCGGCCACACUGGGACUGGGACACGGCCCAGACUCCUACGGGAGGCAGCAGUGGGGAAUAUUGGGCAAUGGGGGGAACCCUGACCCAGCGACGCCGCGUGGAGGAAGAAGGCCUUCGGGUUGUAAACUCCUGUCACCUGGGAAGAAGAGGACGGUACCAGGGGAGGAAGCCCCGGCUAACUACGUGCCAGCAGCCGCGGUAAUACGUAGGGGGCGAGCGUUGUCCGGAAUUACUGGGCGUAAAGGGCGUGUAGGCGGGGCAGCAAGUUGCGGGUAAAAAACCAGGGCUCAACCCUGGGGGUGCCUGCGAAACUGCUGUUCUUGAGGGCGGGAGAGGAGAGUGGAAUUCCCGGAGUAGCGGUGAAAUGCGUAGAUACCGGGAGGAACACCAGUGGCGAAGGCGGCUCUCUGGACCGACCCUGACGCUGAGGCGCGAAAGCCAGGGGAGCGAACGGGAUUAGAUACCCCCGGGUUAAGGUCCUGGCCGGUAAAACGAAUUGGUCACUUAGGGUGUGGGGUGGGUUGAUAAAGGCCCAUUCCCGUUGCCCCGGAGCCCAACCGCCAAAUUAAAGGUGAGCCCGCCUGGGGGGAGUACGGCCGCAAAGGUUGAAAACUCAAAAAGGGAAUUGACGGGGGGGGCCCGCACAAAGGCGGUGGGAGCAUGUGGGUUUAAAUUUCGAAAGGCAAACCGCCGAAAGAAACCCUUUAACCCAGGGCCUUGACACGCAGGGUAGUAGCGAAACCCGAAAAGGGGGGAGCGACGCUUUACGCGAGUAAGCGAGCUCUGCACAAGGGUGGUGCAUGGUUGUCGUCGAGCUCGUGUUCGUGAGAUGUUGGGUUAAAGUCCCGCAAACGGAGCGCCAACCCCCUACCACUUAGUUGCCCAGCCACGGGGAAGGGUGGGGCCACUUCUUAAAGUGAAACUGCCCGCCCGACCAAGGGCGGAAGGGAAAGGGUGGGGGAAUGACGUUCGAAAUUCCAUCCAUGCCCCCUUUUAUGGGCCUGGGGCUCACCACACGUGCUUACGAAUGGGCCCGGUACAACGGGAGGGCGAAGGGUGCGAAACCAAAGCGAGGCCCUUAAAGCCGGUCUCGGUUUCAGAUUGCGGGCUGCAACUCGCCUGCAUGAAAGGCAAACCGCUAGUAAUCGCGGAUCAGCGUGCCGCGGUGAAUACGUUCUGGGCAUUGUACGCGCUCGCCCGUCGCGCUGUGGAGUUGGCACGCCCGAACCGAGCGAGAGCCUUCGAAGGUGAGGCUCAGCGACUGGGGUAAG